rnacentral:rRNA from 1 species
GACGAACGCUGGCGGCGUGCUUAACACAUGCAAGUCGUACGGUAAGGCCCUUUCGGGGGUACACGAGUGGCGAACGGGUGAGUAACACGUGAGUAACCUGCCCACAACUUUGGGAUAACUCUAGGAAACUGGUGCUAAUACUGGAUAUGUGCUCCUGCUGCAUGGUGGGGGUUGGAAAGCUCCGGCGGUUGUGGAUGGACUCGCGGCCUAUCAGCUUGUUGGUGGGGUAGUGGCCUACCAAGGCGGCGACGGGUAGCCGGCCUGAGAGGGUGACCGGCCACAUUGGGACUGAGAUACGGCCCAGACUCCUACGGGAGGCAGCAGUGGGGAAUAUUGCACAAUGGGCGCAAGCCUGAUGCAGCAACGCCGCGUGCGGGAUGACGGCCUUCGGGUUGUAAACCGCUUUCAGCAGGGACGAAGCUUUUUGUGACGGUACCUGCAGAAGAAGCACCGGCUAACUACGUG